AGCUCUUAUCUUUCUCCACGCAGCGUGGUUCUUCCGAGACCACUUCUUAAUCGGACGUCUUCGACUUACUUAUCUCUCCCCGAUAGCUCUCUCGCAUGAUCAUCUGGAAAUUAGAAGUCAUGCGGUUGGUCCUGGCAUGGAUCGCCUUCUGUGCUAUCACUCCUCUGUGCAUGGGGCAAUCACCGACAGUGACAGAUAUUGAUGAAUGUGCCACUGGAAGCCAUGUUUGCCAUGCCAACAGUACAUGUCAGAACACAAUUGGCUCAUACAAUUGCUCUUGUCAUUCUGGAUUCACUGGCAAUGGAAAAAACU